CACACACCAACUUAGUCAUAAGACACUGCUUAAAGGUGACACCUGAUGUGAAACGCCAGCUUUAUCACUUACUUGAUCCCCACAUAUAUAUGAAAAUAUUUCUAGACUCUCUAGUUCGUUCCACUGACGUGUUUGUCAAUUCCUGUUUCAUUGCUAAUCCUAUAGAGUAAGUUUUAAUAUCCAGUAGGGAAAACUCCCCCGUUUGGAUAAUCCCUCGCAUUUUCUCUUCAAGGUCAUUUUAUACCCCAGGUACUGGUUCCAAGUAUACACUCAAAUUCCUGUUGUGGCUUAUGAUUGCGAUCACACUGAAAUCACACAUUUAGAGGGGAAUUUAGAGCAGAAUCGACAACAUUUCAAAGAUUAGCCUUCCUUUCCCCCCCCCAAAAUAAAUAAAAAUGUUAUUUCAGUGUCCAAACAGGAAGCUCAUGAAAAGGUUCAUGGACGUUUUCCCUAGGUUUUUUUUUUUUUAAGUUAAUUAUAUUUGGAGGUAUUUUACAAUGCUCAUGAUGCGUUUGAAUAAGACAUUUUCUUUGUAUUGUAUUUCCUAAUAGAAGUGUCUACAAAACUUAUUUUCUUAUGUGUUUAACUGAUGUCAGCCAACCUUUCCUGAUCUACUUCCUGGGUGUUUACUUUGGUUCUCCUAAGAAGGAAAUCCAUUAAGAGAAAGGCAGGUUUGCCACUGUCUUGUGUUAGUCGGACACUAAUAAUAGUUCUCAUCCCUUUCUGAGGUCUUUUAGAGACUGAACUCCGUAUCUUAGUGUCUUGAUGUGGUUCUACUCGGUUUGGGACGAUAGCUUGGAGGCUGGGCCCUCCCUGCCUCUCAGGCAAAGGAGGUCUGACCUGGUUCUCAUAGUCCUCAACUAUGAGAUCCAGGUGUCACUGAAUGUGGGUAACAACUGACCCCCCCCCCCCCCCGGCACCACUGGCCCACUUGCAGUUUUCAGCCAUGAACCAGUAGUAACCAAGGUGAUCGUGUCCAGCGCUCGGAACUUGCGUGUGGUCAAAAGGUUCUGAGAGCCAUUGUGAGUCACCGUGACACCUCUGGGCUUAGCCAGUCAGGCCCUGGGGCUCAGGGCAGGAAGGAUAAGACAAGGAGGAGAAGAAUCCUCUCUCUCACUCCUUGACCUCUCUUCCAGACGUUCCUGAAGCGAGAGCUCGGUGGUCUGAGAGGGAACAAGGCAGAUAAAGCGAUCUCUGUGGACUACCCUGGAAACAGGAGUGGUGCUCCUUCGUGAAGCCGUCUGUGGCGUCAGCGAGUCAUGGAGAAAGAAAAACCUGAAGUGAAACCCAGCACACCCGCACCCAGCAACGAGGAGAAGACAACUAGACCCUCAAGACGCCCCAGGCCUUCCCAAAAUAUCGUGUGCUUUUUACUGAAUAGGCAGCUGGGGAGGCACAGAAGUGACGUGGACCUGUCCAUGUGGGUGUGGAUGCUGGACUGAGCCACGUCCCGGUGCAGGUGGCCCCUUCCAAACAACCAUGGGUCUUGCCUGCUCGCCCCCGCCCCCGCCCCCACCUCUUGAAAAUGCGAAAGAAAAAUUGAUUUAAAAUAACAAACACCUCUCUCGUGUCAGCUCUUGAAAUAAAAGCUGCGUUUUCCUCC